AUACCUUUCUCGGCCUUCUGGCUAAGAUCAAGUGUAUUAUCUGUUCUUAUUAGUUUAAUAUCUAAUAUGUGGGCCAUUGGCUCACUCUUUAAUAAAUUAAUUUUUUUCAGGGGGAGGGCCCACUACUUUAUGUCUAAUUGGGUCUCUCAUGCGUCGCCUUGGUGUUGCACUAUUGUCUUGGCCUGGCGCACCCCAC